rnacentral:rRNA from 1 species
CCCAAGCGUUGUUCGGAUUCACUGGGCGUAAAGGGUGCGUAGGUGGCGAGGUAAGUCGGAUGUGAAAUCUCGGAGCUCAACUCCGAAACGGCAUUGGAAACUACCUUGCUCGAGGGUUGGAGGGGGGACUGGAAUACUUGGUGUAGCAGUGAAAUGCGUAGAUAUCAAGUAGAACACCAGUGGCGAAGGCGAGUCCCUGGACAACUCCUGACACUGAGGCACGAAAGCUAGGGGAGCAAACAGGAUUAGAUACCCUGGUAGUCCUAGCCGUAAACGGUGCACGUUUGCUGUAAAAGGAAUCGACCCCUUUUGUGGCGCAGCCAACGCGUUAAACGUGCCGCCUGGGAAGUACGGUCGCAAGAUUAAAACUCAAAGAAAUUGACGGGGGCCUGCACAAGCGGUGGAGUAUGUGGCUCAAUUCGAUGCAACGCGAAGAACCUUACCUGGCCUUGACAUGUACGUAGUAGAAGGGUGAAAGCCUGACGAGGUAGCAAUACCAGCGUACACAGGUGCUGCAUGGCUGUCGUCAGCUCGUGUCGUGAGAUGUUGGGUUAAGUCCCGCAACGAGCGCAACCCUUGUGUCCUGUUGCCAAGCCCCGAGCAAUCGGGGCAGCACUCUGGACAGACUGCCUCGCUUAAACGAGGAGGAAGGUGGGGAUGACGUCAAGUCAGUAUGGCCCUUACGGCCAGGGCUGCACACGUACUACAAUGCCCGGCACAAAGGGAAGCGAGACCGUCAGGUGGAGCAAAUCCCCUAAAACCGGGCUCAGUUCAGAUUGUCGUCUGCAACUCGACGGCAUGAAGCUGGAAUCGCUAGUAAUGGCGCAUCAGCUACGGCGCCGUGAAUACGUUCCCAGGCCUUGUACACACCGCCCGUCACAUCAUGAAAGCCGUUUGUACCCGAAGUCGCC